UACGUAGGGGGCAAGCGUUGUCCGGAAUCAUUGGGCGUAAAGAGCGUGUAGGCGGUCCGGUCAGUCGGUUGUGAAAGUCAAGGGCUCAACCCUUGAAUGCCGGCCGAUACUGCCGGGCUAGAGUCCGGAAGAGGUGAGUGGAAUUCCUGGUGUAGCGGUGAAAUGCGCAGAUAUCAGGAGGAACACCAGCGGCGAAGGCGGUGCUCUGGGCCGGAACUGACGCUGAGGAGCGAAAGCGUGGGGAGCGAACAGG
rnacentral:rRNA from 1 species